rnacentral:lncRNA from 1 species
UGUAGCUGUCUGCCACCGCUGUCGCCGCCGUCGCUGCUCACGCUGUCGCC